GCCUACGGGGCGCAGCAGUGGGGAAUCUUCCACAAUGGGCGAAAGCCUGAUGGAGCAACGCCGCGUGGGUGAAGAAGGUCUUCGGAUCGUAAAACCCUGUUGUUAGAGAAGAAAGUGCGUGAGAGUAACUGUUCACGUUUCGACGGUAUCUAACCAGAAAGCCACGGCUAACUACGUGCCAGCAGCCGCGGUAAUACGUAGGUGGCAAGCGUUAUCCGGAUUUAUUGGGCGUAAAGAGAACGCAGGCGGUCUUUUAAGUCUGAUGUGAAAGCCUUCGGCUUAACCGGAGUAGUGCAUUGGAAACU
rnacentral:rRNA from 1 species